AUUGUCACAAUAAAGCCAAAGACUGCUACUAUGAUGAAAGUGUUGCAGAUCAGAAGAGAAGUGUGAACACUGCCGGACAGUUCAGAGGAGGAGGGGUCUGCAUAAAUUGCCUGCAGAACACCAUGGGGAUCAAUUGUGAAACCUGUGUCGAUGGACAUUAUAGGCCACACCAAGCUUUUCCUUAGGAGGAUGAGCCUUGCCGUCCCAGUGACUGUGGCCCCGUGGGGUCCCUCAGUUCUGCCUGUAUUAAAGAUGAUAUCCAUUCUGACUCAUGCAAUGGAAAAUGUUGAGGGAAAAGACUGUCAUCGCUACAAGCCAGGAUUCUAUAACCUGAAGGAGAGAAACCCCCAGGGCUGCUCCGAGUGCUUCUGCUUUGGCGUUUCUGAUGUCUGCGAUGGCCUUUCUUGGCCCAUCAGUCAGUUCCUAAGCAACCUGUUUUGUGAAUCUUCAUCCCCUUCCCCGUGGCAGACUUCUGA